UACGUAGGUGGCAAGCGUUGUCCGGAAUUAUUGGGCGUAAAGCGCGCGCAGGCGGUUAAUUAAGUCUGGUGUUUAAGGCCAAGGCUCAACCUUGGUUCGCAUCGGAAACUGGUUAACUUGAGUACAGAAGAGGAAAGUGGAAUUCCACGUGUAGCGGUGAAAUGCGUAGAGAUGUGGAGGAACACCAGUGGCGAAGGCGACUUUCUGGCCUAUAACUGACGCUGAGGCGCGAAAGCAUGGGGAGCAAACAGG
rnacentral:misc_RNA from 1 species